rnacentral:lncRNA from 1 species
ACUGUUUCACUGGCCAAGAAUGAAGGUGACUUUUCGGAUUGAGAAAGGAGAGGCUCCCCUUCCUCUUCCUCCAAGGUCUAAACGUUGAGUCUAGACUGAGAGAUACUGAGAAGUCUGCAACUGUGCCACUUGAGAGAGUUACAUCUCAAGAGUUAAUCUCAGCCACAGGAAGACAGGUCACAAGCCAGUGCUUGUGUUUGCGGCAGCAGUGAGGCUGGGAGCCCAUUUCUAGGCCAGCCCCAUGUGUCAGCGCCCUUCAGCCCCACUGGGGCAGUUCUGAGUUCCAUCACCACUAACAAGAAUCAAGAGCAACUCUUUGAUCCCGAGGGGCAGGGUUCUCUCUCGUUUUAGACCUGAGGAGUGGAGGAGAUGCAGAUGGCAGAGCAUGGUGGCAAGAUCUGGCUAGAGUGGACAAAUCUGAGGAUUGCACUCAGAAAUAGC